UUAACAUUUAAAAAAAAAAGACCCUCAGGCUAGAUCUUAAAUCUCUCCCCCAUCCCCAAGAUUGAACUUAGCAUGAUAACUGCCCAGCUAUGAAAAGUAUGACUAUCAAGCCAGGGUGGAAAGGCCAGCCUAGGAUUUUGGCUUCUGUUGGCCUGAGUAGGGAGCCCUAGCUGCCCAUAGGGUUCAAUGAGCAGACUUUCAUACCCACUGUUAUUUUGAUAGUCUGGGCUUUUCUUCUUUUCACUUCUGUAUAAAACAAGCUCAGAGAUAAGAACUUCACCUUAGUGUUUUAGUUGUCUAUUUCAAACCAAGACAUUUAUAAAAUGUAUUUUGGAAAAAACAAAAGAGUCACCUCUGUUGUUCCUGGGCUUCAAGUUAGAGGGUCCAGAAUUAGCAACCUGGGGUGGGGGGUAGGGGGUGUGUAGCAGAAAGAACAAGGCGAGAGCUGACCUUUAGAUGCAAACUGAGAGGAAAAGUGACAGUACAUCUAUGAAGCCAGAGGCAAAUAUUUACCUUUUAUAAAAACCAAGUCUUGACUAUGUAAGAUCAUUUGUAAAAAAAAAAAAAAAAAAAAAA
rnacentral:lncRNA from 1 species